GGCCAGAAGCAACCUACACAACCUUCCAAUCCAAGACCGAUCAGAUACCCCGAUCCUCCCGAACCCCAAAUCAGAUCUCACACGCUUUGGAGCGAACAGUCCAAGGAGCAGAGCAGCCUUCCUCUUCCUCUCUUCUCCGAUCGGAAGCAGGCGCGGCGGCGGUAGCGGAAGCGGCAGUCGCCGUAGGAGCGGAUCGCGAUGGGAGCGGAGUGCAAGUACGAGGUGGCGCAGGUGGCGUACGUCAAGCUCGCGCUGCACGCCCUCAAGCACCCCGCCGCCGCCGUCAACGGCCUCCUCGUCGGCCGCCUCCUCGACGGGGCCGCCUCCCCCGCCGCCGUCGUCUCCAUCGCCGACGCCGUGCCGCUCUCCCACCACCCGCACCACCUCCCGCUGCUCCCCACCCUCGAGCUCGCGCUCACGCUCGUCGAGGACCACUUCGCCGCGCAGGGCCUCGCGGUCGUCGGCUACUACCACGCCAACGCGCGCCGCGACGACGCCGACCUCCCGCCCGUCGCCAAGCGCGUCGGGGACCACGUCUUCCGCAACUUCCCCCGCGCCGCCGUACUCCUGCUUGAUAACAAGAAGCUGGAGGAGGCAGUCAAGGGGAAGAGUCGCGAGCCAGUCGUUCAGCUAUACACUAGGGAUUCAUCAAAAAGCUGGCGUCAGGCUGGAUCAGAUGGAAGUAGUCAGCUGACUUUAAAAGAACCAUCAACCAAUAUGGUCUUAGCCGAUCAUGUUACAACGAAGAAAUGGCAGCAAGUUGUUGAUUUCGAU
rnacentral:lncRNA from 1 species